UCGCGGCCUAUCAGCUUGUUGGUGAGGUGAUGGCUCACCAAGGCGACGACGGGUAGCCGGCCUGAGAGGGCGACCGGCCACACUGGGACUGAGACACGGCCCAGACUCCUACGGGAGGCAGCAGUGGGGAAUAUUGCACAAUGGGCGCAAGCCUGAUGCAGCAACGCCGCGUGGGGGACGAAGGCCUUCGGGUUGUAAACCCCUUUUAGCAGGGAAGAAGCGCAAGUGACGGUACCUGCAGAAAAAGCACCGGCUAACUACGUGCCAGCAGCCGCGGUAAUACGUAGGGUGCAAGCGUUGUCCGGAAUUAUUGGGCGUAAAGAGCUCGUAGGCGGUGUGUCGCGUCUGCUGUGAAAACUGGAAGCUCAACUUCCAGCCUGCAGUGGGUACGGGCAGACUAGAGUGCGGUAGGGGAGAACGGAAUUCCUGGUGUAGCGGUGGAAUGCGCAGAUAUCAGGAGGAACACCGAUGGCGAAGGCAGUUCUCUGGGCCGUUACUGACGCUGAGGAGCGAAAGCGUGGGGAGCGAACAGGAUUAGAUACCCUGGUAGUCCACGCCGUAAACGGUGGGUGCUAGCUGUGGGCCACAUUCCACGUGGUCCGUGACGAAGUUAACACAUUAAGCACCCCGCCUGGGGAGUACGG
rnacentral:rRNA from 1 species